CCUACGGGAGGCAGCAGUGAGGAAUAUUGCGCAAUGGGCGAAAGCCUGACGCAGCAACGCCGCGUGGGUGAUGAAGCUCUUCGGAGUGUAAAACCCUGUUAGGAGGGACGAACGAACCCGACGCGAACAGUGUCGGGCGCUGACGGUACCUCCAGAGAAAGCCCCGGCCAACUCCGUGCCAGCAGCCGCGGUAAUACGGGGGGGGGCGAGCGUUGUCCGGAAUCAUUGGGCGUAAAGGGCACGUAGGCGGGGUGGCAAGUCGGGGGUGAAAACCAACGGCUCAACUGUUGGCCUGCCUCCGAAACUGCCAUUCUUGAGUGCGGAAGAGGGAAGUGGAAUUCCUGGUGUAGCGGUGAAAUGCGUAGAUAUCAGGAAGAACACCGGUAGCGAAGGCGGCUUCCUGGUCCGUAACUGACGCUGAGGCGCGAAAGCGUGGGGAGCAAACAGGAUUAGAUACCCCAGUAGU
rnacentral:rRNA from 1 species